rnacentral:rRNA from 1 species
AAUGGGCGCAAGCCUGAUCUAGCCAUGCCGCGUGAGUGACGAAGGCCUUAGGGUCGUAAAGCUCUUUCGCCAGGGAUGAUAAUGACAGUACCUGGUAAAGAAACCCCGGCUAACUCCGUGCCAGCAGCCGCGGUAAUACGGAGGGGGUUAGCGUUGUUCGGAAUUACUGGGCGUAAAGCGCACGUAGGCGGACUGGAAAGUUGGGGGUGAAAUCCCGGGGCUCAACCUCGGAACUGCCUCCAAAACUACUAGUCUAGAGUUCGAGAGAGGUGAGUGGAAUUCCGAGUGUAGAGGUGAAAUUCGUAGAUAUUCGGAGGAACACCAGUGGCGAAGGCGGCUCACUGGCUCGAUACUGACGCUGAGGUGCGAAAGUGUGGGGAGCAAACAGGAUU